rnacentral:rRNA from 1 species
UACGUAGGGGGCGAGCGUUGUCCGGAAUCAUUGGGCGUAAAGCGCGUGUAGGCGGUCCGGUAAGUCCGCUGUGAAAGUCGGGGGCUCAACCCUCGGAUGCCGGUGGAUACUGUCGGGCUUGAGUACGGAAGAGGCGAGUGGAAUUCCCGGUGUAGCGGUGAAAUGCGCAGAUAUCAGGAGGAACACCAAUUGCGAAGGCAGCUCGCUGGGACGUAACUGACGCUGAGACGCGAAAGCGUGGGGAGCAAACAGG